UACAUGAACUACCUCGUUCUGUAAAGUAAAAGACCGGAGUUACACGUUUUAAAGAAAACUUGUUUAUUCUCGAGAAUCUAAUUAUAAUCAGCGAUAUUAGAAUUACUUUGUUCUAGUGACGAUCUAAUUUAGAAUACUGGCAGCGAGAAGAUAGGCACCGAAUAUCUUUAUUACCUUAAAAUGCUGACUGUGCGCCUGGCACCUUGGAAUUAAGAUCAAUUAUGGCUAUACACCUGGACCUGGUCAACACGGACUGGAACCAAAAUGAUAUCAUAUGAAAAUAAUUCUGCGUUCCUGGUCCAUCUGCGAACCGCACUGUAACCUGAAUGCAGAAGUCGCGGAACAAAGAAAGUAAUUGCGUAAACUUUGUGCAUCUUAUUAUUUCGGCCACUAUGUUCCAUUAAAAGACUGAUAUAAAAGUU